GAGAGAGAGAGAGAGAGAGAGCGCGUGCAGGAGAGAGAGAAAAAAAGAGGAGAUACUUGAACUCGCCAAAGAUGUGAACAAAAACUCUUCAGGGACCAGAGGGAUGGCUCAGCAGGUAUCCACACUCAUCAAGAUCUGCAAACACCGGAACGUUUGCUGACACCAAGUCUUGUCUGCCUGUGGCCCUCCAGAAUUCUGAACAGACUUGAGAAGUAUGGGCAGAGUCCACCAUUAACUCAAAGAAAAAGAAAAAAGCCACUGCGAAAGCUGCUGGCUGUUCUUAUUAGCUUGCAUAUGUAGAAUGUUUUCAAUUAAAUAAGCACAGAUGUGUUUCCCAAAAGGAAACGACAGUUAACUGGGUGGAGGAAGCGAACACUUGGUCACAGAACUAUCUCAGAGUUUGCCCUCCACAAGAACAACACAAGAAGGGCUUCUUUUCUGCUAGGACCUAUGGCUUAUCAUGAAAGAUCUGUCAUCGUGUGGACAGGCCCGUUUGGUUCUGAAGGAAAUCAAAGACUCUGUUUCAGAUUACCCAGACCAAAUUCUAAAUCAGUGGCAGACAGAAGAGCCCCAGAAGGAUCCUUGAGAGAUCCUGUCAGCCAGUAAGGCUAGUAGUCUCCCCAGACAUCUUGUUCUGGGGAUCCCAUCUCUGCCUCCUCAAGCUGGAAUUACUAGAAGGCUGCCAUGCUCACCU